GGGGAUAUAGCUCAGUUGGGAGAGCGCCUGCCUUGCAAGCAGGAGGUCAGGGGUUCGAAUCCCCUUAUCUCCA
rnacentral:tRNA from 1 species